CAUCUAUAUUGCUUAAAUUGAUGUCUGUAAUCAUUUGACUUUCAAAUAACGUGACAUGAAAUGCAAAUGGAGAGAGAAGAGAGUUGCCAACUAUUACCAUGUGGCGUAGCAAAUCUAGUAAAUGUAAUCUAUUAUUAAUCACGGUUAUUGAUUAGGAUAAAUCCCCUUCCUCCCUGAAAUUCUUAGAUAAUGCAUAAUUCAGCACUCUUUGUAAACUAACAAAUUAGCUUUUGUGGCACACAAUAGCUGUGUGCAUCAUCUUAAAUAUGAAAUCAUACCAACUGGAUUUAAACCAUUAAUUAAGAUUACAUUUUCAUGACGUUUUAAGCAUAAAACAUAAUAUGUCUCUAUGGCUCUAAUCCACCGAUCUAGGUACCAGACCAGGCAUCACUGUGUGGCUUUUCCGCUAAUAUUCACACAGUGCAGCAGAUUUUAGAAGAAGCUGCGCGUUUAUUGAAACUUCUCUGGAGAGUUUCCCUUCCACUGAAACCCGUGCACGGUACCACUCACGGCACUCAGGAUGAAGGAAUGAAAGCAGAAGUACUUAGAUUGCGUAAGAAACUGUCUGAGCAGGAGAAGAAGUUACACAGCGCCGUGAAACGCUUGCACUGCACCAACCAGCUGAAGGAGAACAUGGAGAAAGUCAUCAUCGACCAGUUGGUUUUGACUCAUGAUGUCUUGAAGAAGGCGAGAGGAAACCUGGAAGUCCCGCCAGCUGAGAAUCAAAAAUCACCUUCCUGUACCAGCAAAAAGAGGAUUAUCUGAAGGAGAAAGUUCCACCAGUAGAGACCGGUCCUGUGAUUGUUGUUUGCUUCUUUAUGCCUUACUAUUUAUUGAUGUAAAAAACGUUUGUUCAGCUCUUUUAAUGGAAUCAGCCUUUGACCAAAAAAAAAAAGAAGACAAAAAAAGAAAGCUUUUGGUAAAUAACUUAUUUAACAUUUUUCUGUAAUGUAAAAGAUUGUUUUUAAUAUUUAUUACUGAAGCAAGGUACUGGAGGGAUUGAAGAAAAACCCAGAUUUUUUUUAAAGUUAGCUCAUUUGAAUUUUUAUAUUUGUAUUUGUCAUGUCAUAAAACUAUUUGUGUGUGUAGUCAAACAGGUCCUGAAAGAAUCCAAAAUGUGAUUCACCUUCCAAACUGUUUCUCUACUGCUAAAAGAAUGUAGGUUAAAAAAAAAAAAAAAAAAGAAUUCUGCCAGUUGUCAUUGUUUUGUAGCAAUGUGGGAGAUGUUUAAUAUUUUAAAGCAUUUUAAACAUAUUGGAAAGAUUCUUCUGGAAUUCAGAAGAAUCAUUGAGCUUUCUUACUGCCCUGUUAGGAACAUAGGUUGAUGCUAGGCCUGAAAAUAUUA
rnacentral:lncRNA from 1 species